rnacentral:rRNA from 1 species
UACGGAGGGUGCGAGCGUUGUCCGGAAUCAUUGGGCGUAAAGGGCGCGUAGGUGGCCUGUUAAGCGUGCGGUGAAAGCUCGGGGCUCAACCCCGAGUCGGCCGUGCGAACUGGGAGGCUGGAGCACUGUAGAGGCAGGCGGAAUUCCGGGUGUAGCGGUGGAAUGCGUAGAGAUCCGGAAGAACACCGGUGGCGAAGGCGGCCUGCUGGGCAGUUGCUGACACUGAGGCGCGACAGCGUGGGGAGCAAACAGG